CUAAUGGUGAUCUACACAGUGCUAUGAUUAGGACACCAACUCUUUAGGAUGAUUCCUCCUCCAAAAUUCUCACUCUAAAAUUUUUUUUGGGGAGUAGGACCUUAAAACCUUCUUCCUCUCCUCCUAGCCUUCCUAUUCCUACCUUUUUUCUCUCUGUCUUCCUUAUAUCUCUUCCCAGGCUCUUGUCCUAAAAUCAGACUUGUCUUUACUAUUUUUAGAUUUAUCCUAACA
rnacentral:lncRNA from 1 species